UACGUAGGGUGCAAGCGUUAAUCGGAAUUACUGGGCGUAAAGCGUGCGCAGGCGGUCUUGCAAGACAGAUGUGAAAUCCCCGGGCUCAACCCUGGGAACUGCAUUUGUGACUGCAAGGCUGGAGUACGGUAGAGGGGAAUGGAAUUCCGCGUGUAGCAGUGAAAUGCGUAGAUAUGCGGAGGAACACCGAUGGCGAAGGCAAUCCCCUGGACCUGUACUGACGCUCCAUGCACGAAAGCGUGGGGAGCAAACAGG
rnacentral:rRNA from 1 species